AUUGAACGCUGGCGGCAUGCCUUACACAUGCAAGUCGAACGGUAACGCGGGGCAACCUGGCGACGAGUGGCGAACGGGUGAGUAAUGCAUCGGAACGUGCCCAGUAGUGGGGGAUAGCCCGGCGAAAGCCGGAUUAAUACCGCAUACGACCUACGGGUGAAAGGGGGGGAUCGCAAGACCUUCUGCUAUCGGAGCGGCCGAUGUCAGAUUAGGUAGUUGGUGGGGUAAAGGCCUACCAAGCCGACGAUCUGUAGCUGGUCUGAGAGGACGACCAGCCACACUGGGACUGAGACACGGCCCAGACUCCUACGGGAGGCAGCAGUGGGGAAUUUUGGACAAUGGGCGCAAGCCUGAUCCAGCCAUGCCGCGUGCGGGAAGAAGGCCUUCGGGUUGUAAACCGCUUUUGUCAGGGAAGAAACGCGCUGAGCUAAUACCUCGGCGUAAUGACGGUACCUGAAGAAUAAGCACCGGCUAACUACGUGCCAGCCGCCGCAGUAAAAC
rnacentral:rRNA from 1 species